GAUGAACGCUGGCGGCGUGCCUAAUACAUGCAAGUCGAGCGAACGGACGAGAAGCUUGCUUCUCUGAUGUUAGCGGCGGACGGGUGAGUAACACGUGGAUAACCUACCUAUAAGACUGGGAUAACUUCGGGAAACCGGAGCUAAUACCGGAUAAUAUUUUGAACCGCAUGGUUCAAAAGUGAAAGACGGUCUUGCUGUCACUUAUAGAUGGAUCCGCGCUGCAUUAGCUAGUUGGUAAGGUAACGGCUUACCAAGGCAACGAUGCAUAGCCGACCUGAGAGGGUGAACGGCCACACUGGAACUGAGACACGGUCCAGACUCCUACGGGAGGCAGCAGUAGGGAAUCUUCCGCAAUGGGCGAAAGCCUGACGGAGCAACGCCGCGUGAGUGAUGAAGGUCUUCGGAUCGUAAAACUCUGUUAUUAGGGGAGAACAUAUGUGUAAGUAACUGUGCACAUCAUGACGGUACCUAAUCAGAAAGCCACGGCUAACUACGUG
rnacentral:rRNA from 1 species